UAGUCUUUGAAAUCUGAGCAACAUAAGACCAGCUCCAUCGACGAGUUCAGGAGAGGUUCUAAGGGAAAAAAGACAAAAAAAAUAAAUGAAAAAUGCAAAAAUAUGAAAGAACCGGUGUUUAAUUAGGAGAAAGUAGAAGUGGUAAAAACCCCUAAUGUGGCGGAUCCGUAUUGGCUUAAAAAAAGAGUGUGAAAUCAGUUUCUCUCCUUCGCCGUGCUUUGUGCGAAAUCAGUUUCUCUUCUUCCUCCAUUCUCGAUCACUCCGUCUCCUCUCUCGAAUCUCAUCUCAUCCUUCUGGGUUAGGCAAAAUCUCCUUCUGAAGCUAUGAUGAAGAUCAGAAGGGAAGAAGGCUUCAAGAGAAUGAUUGUUUCUGGAAAUCGAUGGUGGGAAUGAGCGUUUUUUUUUUUUUUGAUCAAGUUCAACUUUUUGUGGUUCACCAUUGAAGCUUAGCUAGUUUAUGUCAUAUGUUGAACCAUUUGUAUGGGUGUUAUAGAUCAGGUAGGUCGUCUGUACAAGAGUCAUGGGCUUCCAGAGUUACAUGGCAUCAAGGUACUUGUUAGAUCACUUCAACAUGUUUUAGGAACUAGAAUGUUUCCUCUAUGCUACUUCCAGAGUUACAUGGCAUCAAGGUACUUGUUAGAUCACCUCAAUAUAUCUUCUAAAACACUUCCAUCUUACUAUUUGGUUCUCGUGUAUUAGUUUUCGUUUGUCUUCUCAAAUACUUGUAAAAAUCUAAAACACUUCCAUCUUACCAAUUGCUUCAAUGUCAAAAGAAAAAAAAUUAAGAACUUCGUAGGGGUUCUCCCA
rnacentral:lncRNA from 1 species